rnacentral:rRNA from 1 species
UACGUAGGGUGCGAGCGUUGUCCGGAAUUAUUGGGCGUAAAGAGCUCGUAGGUGGUCUGUCACGUCGGAUGUGAAAACUCGGGGCUCAACCCCGAGCCUGCAUUCGAUACGGGCAGACUAGAGUUCGGUAGGGGAGACUGGAAUUCCUGGUGUAGCGGUGAAAUGCGCAGAUAUCAGGAGGAACACCGGUGGCGAAGGCGGGUCUCCUGGGCCGAUACUGACACUGAGGAGCGAAAGCGUGGGGAGCGAACAGG